rnacentral:tRNA from 1 species
GCAGCGGUAGUUCAGUUGGUUAGAAUGCCGGCCUGUCACGCCGGAGGUCGCGGGUUCGAGUCCCGUCCGCUGCG